AGUGAACGCUGGCGGUAGGCCUAACACAUGCAAGUCGAACGGCAGCACAGUAAGAGCUUGCUCCUACGGGUGGCGAGUGGCGGACGGGUGAGGAAUACAUCGGAAUCUACUUUUUCGUGGGGGAUAACGUAGGGAAACUUACGCUAAUACCGCAUACGACCUACGGGUGAAAGCAGGGGAUCUUCGGACCUUGCGCGAUUGAUUGAGCCGAUGUCGGAUUAGCUAGUUGGCGGGGUAAAGGCGCACCAAGGCGACGAUCCGUAGCUGGUCUGAGAGGAUGAGCAGCCACACUGGAAGUGAGACACGGUCCAGAGUCCUACGGGAGGCGGCAGUGGGGAAUAUUGGACAAUGGGCGCAAGCCUGAUCCAGCCAUACCGCGUGGGUGAAGAAGGCCUUCGGGUUGUAAAGCCAUUUUGUUGGGAAAGAAAAGCAGCAGGUUAAUACCCCGCUGUUCUGACGGUACCCAAAGAAUAAGCACCGGCUAACUUCGUG
rnacentral:rRNA from 1 species